UAGUGGCAUAAUGCCAAAGCGCAGUAUUGUGAGAUGUGGCUCCGGAAAGAAUGAAAACCAGAAAAGUUUGUCUUUGCACCGGUUACCAAGAAGUGAAAAUAGAAAAGGAGAAUGGUUAGAAGCAAUUGAAACUGAAAAUAUCAAGCCAAAUGUAAAGGAUAUAUCAUAGUACAUUUCCCAGAAAGUGCUUUCAAUAGAACAAUGGAUGUGAUUAGUCUGCACGAUGAUGCUACACCAGUAUGUCUGCCGCUGCAUUCACACAGGGUACCAGUUGAGCCUCAAAUCCCGAACUCAAAAAUGAACAGAGUGAAUCCGAGUGCAUCCCAGGCUGCACAAAAUAGUUUAGCUCUAUAAUUUUCUCUGUUAUUAGGUAUAUA